CGGAACACGUACGCAACCUUCCUUCAAGCGGGGAAUAGCCCAGAGAAAUUUGGAUUAAUACCCCAUAAGAAUGUGACCUGGCAUCAGGUAGCAUUUAAAGAUUUAUCACUUGAAGAUGGGCGUGCGUCUGAUUAGGUAGUUGGUGAGGUAACGGCUCACCAAGCCGACGAUCAGUAACUGGCGUGAGAGCGCGACCAGUCACACGGGCACUGAGACACGGGCCCGACUCCUACGGGAGGCAGCAGUAAGGAAUAUUGGUCAAUGGACGCAAGUCUGAACCAGCCAUGCCGCGUGGAGGAUGAAGGCCCUCUGGGUUGUAAACUUCUUUUAUUUGGGACGAAACACUUCUUUUCUAGGGAGCUUGACGGUACCAGAUGAAUAAGCACCGGCUAACUCCGUGCCAGCAGCCGCGGUAAUACGGAGGGUGCAAGCGUUAUCCGGAUUCACUGGGUUUAAAGGGUGCGUAGGCGGACAUGUAAGUCCGUGGUGAAAUCUCCAAGCUUAACUUGGAAACUGCCAUGGAUACUAUAUGUCUUGAAUGUUGUGGAGGUUAGCGGAAUAUGUCAUGUAGCGGUGAAAUGCAUAGAUAUGACAUAGAACACCAAUUGCGAAGGCAGCUGGC
rnacentral:rRNA from 1 species